rnacentral:misc_RNA from 1 species
GAUGAAGAACGUAGCAAAAUGCGAUAAGUAAUGUGAAUUGCAGAAUUCAGUGAAUCAUCGAAUCUUUGAACGCACAUUGCGCCCGCCAGUAUUCUGGCGGGCAUGCCUGUUCGAGCGUCAUUUCAACCCUCAAGCACAGCUUGGUGUUGGGACUCGCGUUAAUUCGCGUUCCCCAAAUUGAUUGGCGGUCACGUCGAGCUUCCAUAGCGUAGUAGUAAAACCCUCGUUACUGGUAAUCGUCGCGGCCACGCGGUUAAACCCCAACUUCUGAAUGUUGACCUCGGAUCAGGUAGGAAUACCCGCUGAACUUAAGCAUAUCAAUAAGCGGAGGA